rnacentral:snRNA from 1 species
CUCGUUCAACGGAAGUUUG